GGGCCUUGUACACACCGCCCGUCACACCACGAGAGUUUGUAACACCCGAAGUCGGUGGGGUAACCUUUUGGAGCCAGCCGCCUAAGGUGGGACAGAUGAUUGGGGUGAAGUCGUAACAAGGUAGCCGUAUCGGAAGGUGCGGCUGGAUCACCUCCUUUCUAUGGAG
rnacentral:rRNA from 1 species